GACGAACGCUGGCGGCGUGCCUGAUACAUGCAAGUCGAGCGAAUCUUUUGGGAGCUUGCUCCCGAAAGAUUAGCGGCGGACGGGUGAGCAACACGUGGGCAACCUGCCUAUAAGACUGGGAUAACUUCGGGAAACCGGAGCUAAUACCGGAUACGUUCUUUUCUCGCAUGAGAGAAGAUGGAAAGACGGUCUCGGCUGUCACUUAUAGAUGGGCCCGCGGCGCAUUAGCUAGUUGGUGGGGUAAUGGCUCACCAAGGCGACGAUGCGUAGGCGACCUGAGAGGGUGAUCGGCCACACUGGGACUGAGACACGGCCCAGACUCCUACGGGAGGCAGCAGUAGGGAAUCUUCCGCAAUGGACGAAAGUCUGACGGAGCAACGCCGCGUGAACGAAGAAGGCCUUCGGGUCGUAAAGUUCUGUUGUUAGGGAAGAACAAGUACCAGAGUAACUGCUGGUACCUUGACGGUACCUAACCAGAAAGCCACGGCUAACUACGUGCCAGCCGCCGCCGUAAAAC
rnacentral:rRNA from 1 species